GAAAAAGAUUAGGAGAACUGCUAAUUCCCCACACCAUGCCUAAAAAGCAUGGCUUUUUCA
rnacentral:tRNA from 1 species